rnacentral:rRNA from 1 species
CGCUGGCGGCAUGCCUUACACAUGCAAGUCGAACGGCAGCACGGAGCUUGCUCUGGUGGCGAGUGGCGAACGGGUGAGUAAUAUAUCGGAACGUACCCAGGAGUGGGGGAUAACGUAGCGAAAGUUACGCUAAUACCGCAUACGUCCUAAGGGAGAAAGUGGGGGAUCGCAAGACCUCAUGCUCAUGGAGCGGCCGAUAUCUGAUUAGCUAGUUGGUGGGGUAAAGGCCUACCAAGGCAACGAUCAGUAGCUGGUCUGAGAGGACGACCAGCCACACUGGAACUGAGACACGGUCCAGACUCCUACGGGAGGCAGCAGUGGGGAAUUUUGGACAAUGGGGGCAACCCUGAUCCAGCAAUGCCGCGUGAGUGAAGAAGGCCUUCGGGUUGUAAAGCUCUUUUGUCAGGGAAGAAAAGGUCGCAGCUAAUAUCUGUGGCUCAUGACGGUACCUGAAGAAUAAGCACCGGCU